rnacentral:tRNA from 1 species
GUUUUUAUAGUUGAAUUCAACAGUAGUUUUUCAGAUUACAGGUCUGGGUUAGAGGCCCAGUAAAAAUU